rnacentral:rRNA from 1 species
CCUCGGGGGGCAGCAGUGGGGAAUAUUGCACAAUGGAGGAAACUCUGAUGCAGCAACGCCGCGUGGAGGAUGACACUUUUCGGAGCGUAAACUCCUUUUAUAUAGGAAGAAGAUGACGGUACUAUAUGAAUAAGCGCCGGCUAACUCCGUGCCAGCAGCCGCGGUAAUACGGAGGGCGCAAGCGUUACUCGGAAUCACUGGGCGUAAAGAGCGUGUAGGCGGAUUAAAAAGUCAGAAGUGAAAUCCUAUAGCUUAACUAUAGAACUGCUUCUGAAACUCUUAAUCUAGAAUAUGGGAGAGGUAGGUGGAAUUUCUGGUGUAGGGGUAAAAUCCGUAGAGAUCAGAAGGAAUACCGAUUGCGAAGGCGAUCUACUAGAACAUUAUUGACGCUGAGACGCGAAAGCGUGGGGAGCAAACAGGAUUAGAUACCCCAGUAGUC